rnacentral:tRNA from 1 species
GCGGGAGUUGCGAAAUGGCAGACGCACUACUUUGAGGUGGUAGCGCCGAGAGGUGUGGGGGUUCAAGUCCCCCCUCCCGCA